UCUCGGAUCUGGGGCGUCUGAGUUCCGCGGGCUGCGUGGACUUUAUGACCCGUGACCGCGGCGACGCUGAUUGGUUCUCCGGGAUCUCGUCAUCCAAUGGGGGUGAGAACAGGACAGUUGUCAUCAGUGUCCGGGCAGAAGGACCCGACACAGGUUAGUCAGGAUGAAACCUAAGAGCACGGAGUUUCCAGAUAAAAUACACACAGCACUUGAAAUGAAUGUUCACAGAAACAGGUGCUGUCGGGGUCCUGGUGAGGGUGUGGGGCUGCCGUGGACACCUGCAUCGGGAGGUGACUGGAGUUUUCACAGCUCUGGUCAAGCACUUUUGACCCUGUGUUUUCUGUGACUCUCCGUGCUGGAAUCCCUACUUACCUCUGCUUUCACUUUCUACUUCAGUUAUGUGUGGCUGUGAUUUGAAGACAUCAAGUCAAAAUCCACAGAAAGAGAAGAUUUAUAAACUCAAUUUUUCUCCACACUACUGAACAGGGAUGAAAACUCAAAUCCCCAGUGUGUACCUCUGCCAUGAGAAUUACCUCUUCCCCGGGGUCCAUACCGCACAGGCCUGAGGAACUCAGGAGCCAACUGUUACCAGAUCCAGGGUCCCACACACCUGGGACAUUGAACUCCCUGAUCUCACCGGCUCAUAAAGUGUGAGUGAAGAUUGUAGCUAGUCUUACAAUGUCCCACCAGCCUGCUCCCAAAUCAGACAUGGAGACUUAUUAAUUAUGAAAGCUCACUAGAUAGCUUAGGCUUGUAUCUAAUUAAUUCUUAUAACUUAAAUUCACCCAUAUAUUUUAAUCUACAUUCUUUUUCCUGGCUUGGUUACCUUUACCUUGUAAAGCCCAUGAUUGCUGAUUGCUCUACAUCUCUAGUUUCUCCUAUAUGUUAUGCUUCCUCAACAUCUCCUGGUGACUCUGCCCUUCUUCUUUCCAGAGUCCUCUGUGCCUGGAAAUCCUGACGAGCUAUUGGCUGUUCAGCUUUUUAUUAAACAAAAGACAGUGACACUUCUUCACAGAGUACAAAGAGAUUAUUUCACAACAUUUCUCCUUUUGUAUAAAUUAAGAGGAAAGGUUUUAACUCUAAGAAUG